rnacentral:lncRNA from 1 species
CAGCAACCAAUACGCCUGCGCAGUACGUGCAGGGUUUGUACGGCAAAGGGGGACAGGAAGCGAUGAGCCCACGCAGUAAGCUUAGCGUUGUACGGAGCACACAACCAACGUCAUCAUCACGCACCCCUGUACAGAAAAGGACCUCUCCACUUGCCCUUGCGAAGACUUGCCUGCCGUGACUAUAUUAGUGCCGGACUGCAACCUUGAACCUGACUCGGGGACAAUGGUGGUGCAACAGAUCACUGGAGUCUGGAGACUAGGAAAAACUAUCCCGCUCUCGUCCGGUGGCAGAGCUGUGGCGACCAACUGUCAGGCGCAGCUAAGGGACAGUCUUCGGGGAGGAAAGCAAGAGGCGUCCGUGACCAUCAAGAACUAAGAGCAGAAGGCAGUGCAUGGGAGCAGCGUGAUCCAGAAAUGAACUAGUGAACGCGGGCGGCGGUGACUACGGUGAAACAGUAAUCAAUGUCAGAGAAGGAUGUCUCCUGGGAGAAGGCGGGCUCAAGUGUGAGCACCACUGCUUGUGCGGGGGUUAUGGUUGACACGUGAGAAACUAGGAUGGGGCUGGUAAGAAAGACCAAGAGUUCCACCUUCGAGGGAAUUCGGUUUCGUGAAGAUGAGGACACAGGGGCUUGAAGACCGAGGUGUCACAAACCCGAGGAGUCUCCCAUGUGAGACUGCUGAAGCUUUUCUAGUGAGAGUGUCAUUAGAGUUCAGUGAGUGUCAAAAAAUAGAGCGAGGCCCACUAAGGUUGGUGGCAGCCACGCCCCCCCCCUCUCUCUUUCAUAUCAGAACAUCGCCCUGAAGACACUGUAGAGGGCAAGCGUCUCCCAAGGAAUGGAGUCCAGACAGCCCAGGAGACGACCUCUUUGAGUACUGCCAGAAAGAGGGGUUGGGUGCAGGAGUGACAGACACUAAAGGGACCUCCAUAUCUCGACGCCCCGCCCUGCUACAGGUGGCCGCAGUGACUACCUGCCAGGAAUGACCUCCUCUCAUGAUCAAAAUUAUUUCCCUUGAUUUGGGCACACAAACAGAAGCAGGACGACAUUUAGAGGAAUAAAGGGCUGCCAGGCGAAGAUUGGGUUGUGGGGUGUGACUGGCAAUAUCAUUACCUGGAAUGAGUCCCCAGGGUUCUUGUCCCACUUUCCCCCUAGACUUUCAAUAUGACUAUGCUUCAGUUUCCCGUAGCAAACGUGUGCAACACGGGCUAUGGUGGUAGCACACCUUUAAUCCCCGAAUUUAGGAGGUAGAGGCAGGCCGUUCACUGAGUUUGAAGCCAGCCUGCUCUAUAGAGAAAGUUCCAGGACAUCCAGGGCUACACAGACAAAUCUUGUCUUAAUAAACAAACCAAAACGGGC